ensembl:lncRNA
GCAGGAAACACACGAAAGAGGGAAAAGAGUGAGAGGCAGUGAACACCAAGUUGCAGCAGACACACCCCUCCACCUUCCGGCCCACAGGAUGCUCUUGAUCUUCCUUUACGUGGACAGCAGGUGACAGGGGCGGUGAGGACGAAUCCUCCAUGGGUUUGCUGUCCUGCCAUGUUACAGCUCUUACAGCCAGACUCCGUCGGUGAGAGAGGUGCACCCUCACACAGUUAUUCCCACCGUGAGAGCACCAGGUAGAGACCACUUCUUCUACUGUAAGACACUGUUUCCAAAGGAUGCUUCUAUCCAUUACCUUGUUGAUCUUAUUGGAAUGUAAGCUGGGUAUUACUCUUUAAAUUUUUCCUUAUGGACAAUUUCAAGCACAAAAGUAGACAGCCGACUGUAACCGUCCCAAGCCCCACACUCUCCUUCAACAAUUAUCCACAUUCUGCCAGUCCUGUGGCAUUUGUCCUCUACCUCCCUUCCUUCUCUUUUUCACAGGAGUAUUCUAGAGCAAAUCCAAGCUAAUGAUAUUAUUUUCAUGUUGCCAUGAUCACACCCAACAAAAUUAUAGAUGAUGCCUUUAUAUCAAGUAAGAAAUAGUCGAUUGUAGAAUAAGUCUCCUUACCCAUUGUCCUUUUUUUAGCCACAAGAAAACUGAGGCUUAAAGCCAAAAGCGAUUAGUCCAAGAUCACAUGGCUCUACAGAAGGGCACUGCACCAACACUGGGUUCCUCUGACCACAAUCCCAGCUCCCAUGCCAGAGAAACAGAAGCGGGGAGCAGAAACAGAGCCUCACAGGCAAGAUCCAGCUGCUGUGUUUCUCGGAAGGCCAGGUGGGAGAUGUCCCAGAAGAAAGCAAUAAAACACUGAGGUGAAGAAGCCUCCGUGGUCCAGCCGGCAUGGAAUGCUGUGAAGAAAACUAACUCGGGCAGCAGGCCCCUGACCAGAUUCCCUUGAGAUUAGCUGAAGUCGUGACCACAAGAGAAGACUUUGAAGACUGUGACUCAGUUUCCCCACCUGUAAAGUGACUGACUUGUUUAGGGUCUUUCUUGGAUCCGUAUUUCCUGACUCUGGUCAUUGUGAAGACCCAGCACAGCAAAAGGAAGAUGCCAUAUCUUGCGGAGCCAUGCUCAAGAACCACCUCCCACAGCUCUGAAAUGGGGAGAAACAGGGUUCACAAAACCCAGCUGAUGCUGUAAGAGGCCAAGACUCAACACCAACCCUGGCUUCAACUGUUGCUUCAGAAGCUCGUCUUCGUGGGUGGGAACUCCAGCUCGAAUCCCACUUGCUUUGAGACAAAACUCUGCGGUCCCCUAAAUAUUAAAGCUACAAAGAAGAUGCGGCUUCUAAUAAUGGGUUUUUUGAACCCUUACUAAGCACUUUCUUUUUUAACCCAUGUGUCCUCUCUAUAACUUUGAUCUUCAGUUUCACAGAUGAGGAGACAAGGGCAUAAAAGGCUUGGGCACCUUGUGCUAGGUCAUGCAGCUGGUAAGCUGGGGGCUAUGAUCUGAACCCUAACAGACAACUGCUGUCCAAACUGCUCCCACCCCCACCUCUCACAACUUGGUGACAUCUCUUUUUGUUGUCUUAUCAAUACUCUUUUGCUUAACCCAUCAAUGUGAACAACACUGACACUACAAUAAAAUGAACUCCUUGGUAAGGAGCA